AACAAUGGGAGUCACUGGGUACAUGCUCCCCACGUAGGAUCUCUGUCCUUAAUGUGUUCUACUAUGAAACUUAAAAACAACACUACUAGUCGAACAAUACCCUAUACCUUGUGCGGUUGUGUGAGUGCAGCCUGUUGAAAUCCUUGCUUAGUAUAUACUAAGUUGAUCUUCAGUAUAUGAAGGGGAAGAGCAAACUGUUGGAAGCAAAGAAUGUCUGGCAAACACAGCAGGAACGCUGUGCAAGACCCUACCACCCCUGCCAUUUAUUUAUUGUAUACCAACUCGGGAUUUUCCCUGGAGAAACCACGAUACAGUUGUCCCUCCACAUCCAAGAAGAAUUGUCCUAGCACCUACCUCAGACACCAAAAUCCGCAGAUGUUCAACCUAAGCACACCAUCUCUAGGUUACUGAUAAUUCCUACUACAAUGGAAAUGCUUUGAAAUAGAUCGCUGUGCUGUAUUGUUUAGGGAAUAAUGAGAAGAAAAUUGACACACUUUUUCCCCAAAUUUCUUCAAUUCUUGUUAGUUGAACCUGUGGGUAUGCAAUCCACAUGUAUAGAGUCAACUGUACAAUGAAAAUAAUAAGACAUCACAUCAUGAUUAUGUGAUAAAUGACUAUAUAAUAAAAUAAUAACAAAUCAGAAAACAAACAAACAAAAACAUUAUAAUGUUUAAAGAAACAAAAAUGCUAAACUCAUCUGGUCUGAUCUUCCCACACUGAAUAUGUACGUUGACUCACCACACUGUGCUCCAUGAUUAUGUACAAUUAAAACAGAAAAUAAAGCCAUGCAUUUUUAUUGUAA